AGUGAACGCUGGCGGUAGGCCUAACACAUGCAAGUCGAACGGCAGCACAGUAAGAGCUUGCUCUUACGGGUGGCGAGUGGCGGACGUGUGAGGAAUACAUCGGAAUCUACUUUUUCGUGGGGGAUAACGUAGGGAAACUUACGCUAAUACCGCAUACGACCUACGGGUGAAAGCAUGGGAUCUUCGGACCUUGCGCGAUUGAAUUAGCCGAUGUCGGAUUAGCUAGUUGGCGGGGUAAAGUCCCACCAAGGCGACGAUCCGUAGCUGGUCUGAUAGGAUGAUCAGCCACACUGGAACGGAGACACGGUCCAGACUCCUACGGGAGGCAGCAGUGGGGAAUAUUGGACAAUGGGCGCAAGCCUGAUACAGCAAUACCGAGUGGGUGAAGAAGGCCUUCGGGUUGUAAAGCCCUUUUGUUGGGAAAGAAAAGCAGCAGGUUAAUACCCCGCUGUUCUGACGGUACCCAAAGAAUAAGCACCGGCUAACUUCGUG
rnacentral:rRNA from 1 species